GCCAGACUCCUACGGGAGGCAGCAGUGGGGAAUAUUGCACAAUGGGGGAAACCCUGAUGCAGCGACGCCGCGUGAGUGAAGAAGUAUUUCGGUAUGUAAAGCUCUAUCAGCAGGGAAGAUAAUGACGGUACCUGAGUAAGAAGCCCCGGCUAACUACGUGCCAGCAGCCGCGGUAAUACGUAGGGGGCAAGCGUUAUCCGGAUUUACUGGGUGUAAAGGGGGCGUAGACGGCAUGGCAAGUCUGAAGUGAAAGCCCGUGCCUCAACCGCGGGACUGCUUUGGAAACUGUUAAGCUGGAGUGCAGGAGAGGUAAGUGGAAUUCCUAGUGUAGCGGUGAAAUGCGUAGAUAUUAGGAGGAACACCAGUGGCGAAGGCGGCUUACUGGACUGUAACUGCCGUUGAGGCUCGAAAGCGUGGGGAGCAAACAGGAUUAGAUACCCUUGUACU
rnacentral:rRNA from 1 species